UAUGUUUCAGCUAUGUACAUUCUUUAUCACUACCAAUAAUGAGAACUAACCUGAAUAGAAUAAUUGAGUUUCAGCUGCUACCUGUUCAACACCUUCAACCUAUUGCCUAUUAGCUUUACUGGAUUUGUGAACAGAUUGCCUCUAAUUUCUCCAAUUGACAAGGCACUAAAAAAACCUGAAAUCAGGUUUUGGAGCUAUUCUGGAAGAUAAGAAUGAAAAUUGAAGAUUUGGAUCAUUGAAGUUGGAACCUAAGACCCAUACAUACUAUAUAUAGUGCGUAGGUGCCAACAUAUGUGUUAGAAGUGGAGAUCUAAACACUCGGAAGUUUAGAAAAGAAGACCUUAUCACUUAUGGAUGACACCCACAACCCUAGAUGCUACCUAUGGUAUGUGGGUGCUAGCGUAAGUUUCAAAAAGUCAAAGUAUAUAGAGUUUCAAAAGUUCUUAAGAGGAAGGGCUCCUACGUGGGACCAUUUACGGUAUGUAGGUUCCACCUACAGCCCGUAGGUGUCCGAGUAAGUAGACACCAACCUCAGUUUUUCAUUUUUGUUCAGGAAUGGCUUCCUUGGGUUUCCUUAUAUUUUAUAAAUACGCUUUUGAUGUUGUUACUUAGUUUAUUCACUAUAUAUACUUAUAAAAAGAUAUUUGAUUCCAAGAUUCAAUUUUGAUCUUGGGAUUGCUUUGUAUUGAUUUUGGCUUUUUAUUCAUUGAUUAUUGAGAUAUUG